UUCUGCCUAAAGAGAAGCUUGCGGCUGAUUAGCUUGUUGGUGAGGUAAAGGCUCACCAAGGCGACGAUGGUUAGCUGGUCUGAGAGGAUGAUCAGCCACACCGGAACUGGAACACGGUCCGGACUCCUACGGGAGGCAGCAGUGAGGAAUUUUGCGCAAUGGGGGAAACCCUGACGCAGCAACGCCGCGUGAGUGAUGAAGGCUUUCGGGUCGUAAAGCUCUGUCAGGUGGGAAGAACCCACCAAGUGUUAAGACCACUUGGUGCUGACGGUACCACCGAAGGAAGCACCGGCUAACUCCGUGCCAGCAGCCGCGGUAAUACGGGGGGUGCGAGCGUUAUUCGGAAUCAUUGGGCGUAAAGGGCGCGCAGGCGGUAUCGUAAGUCAGAUGUGAAAUCCCGGGGCUUAACCCCGGAAGUGCAUAUGAAACUAUGAGACUUGAGUAUGGGAGAGGGAAGCGGAAUUCCUGGUGUAGCGGUGAAAUGCGUAGAUAUCAGGAGGAACACCGGUGGCGAAGGCGGCUUCCUGGACCAAUACUGACGCUGAGGCGCGAAGGCGUGGGGAGCGAACAGGAUUAGAUACCCUGGUAGUCCACGCAGUAAACGUUGAUCACUAGGUGUAGCGGGUAUUGACCCCUGCUGUGCCG
rnacentral:rRNA from 1 species